rnacentral:SRP_RNA from 1 species
GCCAGGCGCAGUGGCGCACUGCCUGUAGACCCAGCUACUCAGGAGGCUGAGGUGGGAGGAUCGCUUGACCCCAGGAGUUUUAGGCUAUAGUGCGCUAUGUCGAUUGAGUGUCCGCACUAAGUUCAGCAUCAGUAUGGUGACCUCCCGGGAGCAGGUGACCACCAGGUUGCCUAAGGAGGGGUGAACCAGACCAGGUCGGAAACGGAGCAGGUCAAAACUCCCAUGCUAGCGGGAGUUGCAAUUCUCACCUCUGAUAAAAUAGACUUUAAAGCAACAAAGAACAGAAGAGGCAA